GACGAACGCGGGCGGCGUGCUUAACACAUGCAAGUCGAACGAUGAAGCUCUAGCUUGCUGGGGUGGAUUAGUGGCGAACGGGUGAGUAACACGUGAGUAACCUGCCCUUUACUUCGGGAUAAGCUUGGGAAACUGGGUCUAAUACCGGAUAUUCUGCAUGGUCGGAUGGUUGUGUAGGAAAGAUUUUUUGGUAAGGGAUGGGCUCGCGGCCUAUCAGUUUGUUGGUGGGGUGAUGGCCUACCAAGACGACGACGGGUAGCCGGCCUGAGAGGGCGACCGGCCACGCUGGGACUGAGACACGGCCCAGACUCCUACGGGAGGCAGCAGUGGGGAAUAUUGCACAAUGGGGGAAACCCUGAUGCAGCGACGCCGCGUGGGGGAUGACGGCCUUCGGGUUGUAAACCUCUUUCAGUAGGGAAGAAGCGAAAGUGACGGUACCUGCAGAAGAAGUACCGGCUAACUACGUGCCAGCAGCCGCGGUAAUACGUAGGGUACUAGCGUUGUCCGGAAUUAUUGGGCGUAAAGAGCUCGUAGGUGGUUUGUCGCGUCUGCUGUGGAAACGUGCCGCUUACCGGUGCGCGUGCAGUGGGUACGGGCGGACUAGAGUGCAGUAGGGGAGUCUGGAAUUCCUGGUGUAGCGGUGAAAUGCGCAGAUAUCAGGAGGAACACCGGUGGCGAAGGCGGGACUCUGGGCUGUUACUGACGCUGAGGAGCGAAAGCAUGGGGAGCGAACAGGAUUAGAUACCCUGGUAGUCCAUGCCGUAAACGGUUGGGCACUAGGUGUGGGGUCCAUUCCACGGAUUUUGCGCCGUAGCUAACGCAUUAAGUGCCCCGCCCGGGGAGUACGGCCGCAAGGCUAAAACUCAAAGGAAUUGACGGGGGCCCGCACAAGCGGCGGAGCAUGCGGAUUAAUUCGAUGCAACGCGAAGAACCUUACCAAGGCUUGACAUGCACUAGACCAUCGCAGAGAUGUGGUUUUCUUUUUGACUGGUGUACAGGUGGUGCAUGGUUGUCGUCAGCUCGUGUCGUGAGAUGUUGGGUUAAGUCCCGCAACGAGCGCAACCCUCGUUCUAUGUUGCCAGCACGUGAUGGUGGGAACUCAUGGGAGACUGCCGGGGUCAACUCGGAGGAAGGUGGGGAGGACGUCAAAUCAUCAUGCCCUUUAUGUCUUGGGCUUCACGCAUGCUACAAUGGCCGGUACAGAGGGUGGCGAUACCGUGAGGUGGAGCGAAUCUCUUAAAGCCGGUCUCAGUUCGGAUCGUAGUCUGCAACUCGACUACGUGAAGUCGGAGUCGCUAGUAAUCGCUGAUCAGCAAUGCUGCGGUGAAUACGUUCCCGGGCCU
rnacentral:rRNA from 1 species